rnacentral:miRNA from 1 species
AUGCCUAUUUUAAAAUGAAAA